rnacentral:rRNA from 1 species
GGGGGGGGGGGGGGGGGGGGCGGGGGGGUGCAAGGCGGGCGGGCCUGUCGGGGGCAGCGGCGGGCGGGGGGGUAACGCGUGGGAGUAUGCCCUUCUCUACGGAAUCGUCCGGGGAAACUGGGGGUAAUACCGUCUACGCCCCUUGGGGGAAAGAUUGUUCGGGGGAGGAUUAGCCCGCGUUGGAUUAGGUAGUUGGUGGGGUAAUGGCCUACCAAGCCGACGAUCCAUAGCUGGUUUGAGAGGAUGAUCAGCCACACUGGGACUGAGACACGGCCCAGACUCCUACGGGAAGCAGCAGUGGGGAAUCUUAGACAAUGGGGGCAACCCUGAUCUAGCCAUGCCGCGUGAGUGAUGAAGGCCUUAGGGUUGUAAAGCUCUUUCAGCUGGGAAGAUAAUGACGGUACCAGCAGAAGAAGCCCCGGCUAACUCCGUG